AUCCUCCCACCAUCCACAUGACCUCACUAAUAUGCCUGAAGAUCCUUUAAAGAAUGUCAUGUUUUUAAAAUUAUAUUGCAGCUGCUUUGAUAGAGAAAACGAGUAGUGUCAACAAGACUUUGCUUGUGGUGAUAAUGUGCAAUAAUAGUACAUAUGAGAUUCAAUUCUUAGUAUUUGAUCUUUUUUGAGAGGCACUUCUCCAACAUCACACGUUUAAAUGUUUCUAUUGAUUUUCAUGUCUAGAUUUAUUGUGAACAUAUAACCUCCAGUUAGCCUAAAGCAGCCUUUCUGAUUCCUUAAGCAAAACAAUCAGUUAGAAGGACUUAACAACAGUACUAUAAAUGAACAUGAGUGAGUUGUGAAAAAUAACCGUGUUUAUGUAGGCAUUUUAUGUUGCAACUUGUUGUCAACUGUUCAGUUUUCAGAAUACAUUAUUAUAGUAAAUGCCUUUCUCUGGGUCAAGUGAAACUGGUGUUAUCUUGAAAUUUCUUAAAAUGAUCUGCAAAUUAUUUAUCUAUAUAAAUUCUAUAUAUAGAGAGAUAAAGACAAAGAAAAUAACAUUUAUAGCUCUAUUGCUUCCCACAGCACAAUCCCACAGUGUACCUUUUCCAUAGGUUUAUGGUUAUUAUUUUUAACUAAUUAAAUAUUUUAUUUUUCAGAGGUUUAUGGUUAUUAUUGUUAACAAAUUAAACUAAUUUUUUUCAGAUCUUUAUAGUUCAUAUUUAAUUCUGACUUACUUAUUGAAUUCUACUUUAAGCAAGCAGGAAAAUCAACUGUGGAACUGAGAAAAUCCCAUAAUAUUCCCUCUACAAAAUUCACACUUGCUUUUCUGGAGGAACUAUCGGACAUUUUGUGUGAACUCUGCGUUGUUACUGUUGUUUUAUUCCUUCUUAUCUAAAAGUACUGACUUCAUUAUUUGAAAAUCUGUCCUCCUUGUUCUGCUUAUAGCCCUGAUUCUGCUCAAGCCUCCCCAAAUUCUUACUGGUGUGACUGUGUAUGACCGGAGCACCUGACUCUCAGCCCAGUACAUGUGUGUGCAUGGUACAACAAUGGAACAAUAAAUGGGAGGGAAGGGAGGGAAGAGCCAUCAAGGAAGACUGCCCAGAAAAGCUGAUGCUCGAGGCAAGACUUCUGGGGGAGAAGCAUGCCAAACCAGAAAAGGUAGGCAAGACCUUUCAAAACCAGGAAACAGGUAGUUGAAAUUAUAUAGCCGUAUGAGAGACUAUGCCAAUAUGGGUGAAAACUAGGGUACAUACAAGGAAGCAGUAGGAGGCAUGGGCCAAGGUCCAUUUCAUUUUCUGCCAUACCUCUUAUUUGACUUCACUAUGAUAUAAUAUGAUCAUUUCAUGCUGAUCCUAUAAUCCUUCAGUUGUAUCCCAUCACAGUCAGAUAUAUAUUUUGGAAAUGUUGGGAGUAAGUGUGUUCAACAGAAGAAAGGCAGUCUCAGGAAUUUGAAAUUACCCUGUAUAUUUUCAUUAUGUCUUUAUUUCCUUAAAAUAUCACCUUAGUCCCCAUUCUCUGAGGGCUGGUUCUGACCUUGGCCUUCUCUUUAUUGGCCUUGCAAUUGUCUCCUCUCUGGUUUCCCUGACUCUCCUCCUUUCCUUCUCCAAUUUAAUCUUCCCAUUCAUUCUUAAAAACACAAAUUGAAUCAUGUCACUCCUUAAAUUUUUCAAUGCUACCAACUAUAGAAUAAAAUAUUAGCUCUUUAGAUUGACA
rnacentral:lncRNA from 1 species